GGCUACGUAGCUCAGCUGGUUAGAGCACAUCGUUCGAAUCCCGUCGUAGCCACCA
rnacentral:tRNA from 1 species